UUACUUCUGUUUUUUUAUUUUCUACACUUUUUCCUUCUUUUCAGUUUCAUAUUUCACUCUUAACAGAACAAACCAACCCAUUUUGUAACUGUGCGAAAUCGCACUCCUUUGAAGAUUACUAUUAUAGGGUAGUGGUGUGUGCAGAAUUUGGAACAAAUUUUCUGAUUUUCAAGUAAAGGCUGGGGAUGGAGAAAAAGGAAAUGCAAGAGCAGUCAGGUGAUUAUUAUAGAAAUUUCAAGUGAGAAAAUAAAAGAAGUUUGAUUAAUGCAUCAGAACAUUUCAAACUGAA